rnacentral:rRNA from 1 species
GAUGAACGCUGGCGGCGUGCCUAAUACGUGCAAGUCGAGCGAACAGACGAGGAGCUUGCUCCUCUGACGUUAGCGGCGGACGGGUGAGUAACACGUGGAUAACCUACCUAUAAUACUGGGAUAACUUCGGGAAACCGGAGCUAAUACCGGAUAAUAUAUUGAACCGCAUGGUUCAAUAGUGAAAGACGGUUUUGCUGUCACUUAUAGAUGGAUCCGCGCCGCAUUAGCUAGUUGGUAAGGUAACGGCUUACCAAGGCGACGAUGCGUAGCCGACAUGAGAGGGUGAUCGGCCACACUGGAACUGGGACACGGUCCAGACUCCUACGGGAGGCAGCAGAAGGGAAUCUUCCGCAGUGAGCGAAAGCCUGACAGAGCAACGCCGCGUGAGUGAUGAAGGUCUUCGGAUCGUAAAACUCUGUUAUUAGGGAAGAACAAAUGUGUAAGUAACUAUGCACGUCUUGACGGUACCUAAUCAGAAAGCCACGGCUAACUACGUG